rnacentral:rRNA from 1 species
UACGUAGGGUGCAAGCGUUGUUCGGAGUUACUGGGCGUAAAGGGCGCGUAGGCGGCAUUGCAAGUGGAAGGUGAAAUCCCUCGGCUUAACCGAGGAAUUGCGCUCUAAACUACUGUGCUUGAGGGACCUAGAGGUGAGCGGAACUGAUGGUGGAGCGGUGAAAUGCGUUGAUAUCAUCAGGAACACCGGAGGCGAAGGCGGCUCACUGGGGGUCUUCUGACGCUGAGGAACAAAAGCCAGGGGAGCGAACGGG